UUACGGCCAUAUCACGUUGAAACACCGUUUUCCAUACGAUCACCGAAGUUAAGCAACAUCCAUACUGGUCAGUACCUAGAUGGGUGACUGCUUGUGCAUACUUGGUGCUGUAA